rnacentral:rRNA from 1 species
CAGGCCUAACACAUGCAAGUCGAACGGUAACAGGAAGCAGCUUGCUGCUUUGCUGACGAGUGGCGGACGGGUGAGUAAUGUCUGGGAAACUGCCUGAUGGAGGGGGAUAACUACUGGAAACGGUAGCUAAUACCGCAUAACGUCGCAAGACCAAAGAGGGGGACCUUCGGGCCUCUUGCCAUCGGAUGUGCCCAGAUGGGAUUAGCUAGUAGGUGGGGUAACGGCUCACCUAGGCGACGAUCCCUAGCUGGUCUGAGAGGAUGACCAGCCACACUGGAACUGAGACACGGUCCAGACUCCUACGGGAGGCAGCAGUGGGGAAUAUUGCACAAUGGGCGCAAGCCUGAUGCAGCCAUGCCGCGUGUAUGAAGAAGGCCUUCGGGUUGUAAAGUACUUUCAGCGGGGAGGAAGGCGAUAAGGUUAAUAACCUUGUCGAUUGACGUUACCCGCAGAAGAAGCACCGGCUAACUCCGUGCCAGCAGCCGCGGUAAU